GGCCAGGUAGCUCAGUUGGUUAGAGCAUUGUCCCAAUAAGCCAAGGUUAUGGGUUUGAUCCCAUCAGGGCAC
rnacentral:tRNA from 1 species